rnacentral:lncRNA from 1 species
GUUUUUGCUGUGCUGCACAGGUUAGAACUCCUGGGCUCAAGUGAUCUUCCUGCCCUAAGCUUCCCAAAGUCCUGGGAUUACAGGUGUGAGCCACCGCCCUAGGCCAUUAAAUAUACUUUUUAAAAAGACCCUUAUGUCAGCGAUCUUCAGGCCUCCUGUGUGUGGAGACAGUUGUCUUAAUGUAGAUUCUCAGAUCACCCAAAAAUUCUGAAUUCUUUUGGGGAAGGUGGAACCCCACAGGGCAGGCAGUAUAACUCAGUAUCUUCAAGUUCAUUUGCUGACUCGGAUAUGCCUAUUUACCUGCCAAAAAUGAUUACAGUUUCAGAGAAACUCUUCUCAAUUGUAUAGUAUGUGACCCUCAAUUUUUCCUCAAAUGAACUGUUUUUUCCUCCUCCUAAAAAAUAACAGAAUGGGAAUUUUGAGAGGCAAAGAGGAAUAGUAAUUAAUAUUUUUGGAAACUUGCAGGUCAGGUUUUCCUUUUAAAAGGAAUGUUGAAAUAUAUUCUUUCGAACAAGAGAAGUUCACCUUAUUUGUGUUUCUCCUGCUUAAUUGCAAUCCUUAAGGAAAGUGAUUUUUCAGUGCCUAAGCACAGAGCUGGAAGCUCAAUAAAUGUUAGUUUUGUUGGUUUAUACGUGAAAUUGAUUCUCAAGUAAUAGUUAAGCUCAGAAAACAUAUAAACAAGGCUUUUUGGGAGAGACUUCAGGGUCCCAUUUAACCUACAUCUCCUAAUAUUCUAUUCAUAGAGGAAACUGAUGCCUCAUGGUCUCUGAGUACAUCUAUCCCACCAUUCAGUUCUUCUUUGGGUUUCCUGUACUAAUCAUUGCAGUUAUCCUUUUCCUGCACCUUACUUCCUUGGGCUUUUUGUUUAAAUUAACCAGCUACCUAUCUCCUUUUCAAGUAGUUACAUACUAUUUCUUACCCUUAUAAGACAAAUUUAUUAAGUAUAUUACACGCUUGUACUUGGAUGAGAAAGCUGGUGAAACUUUUGUCAGGGCUAGUGUGUGUGUGAGAUUUGCAAAAUGUAAACUUAGGUUACUUCCAUAUAUUUUUUGUGAGUGGAGGUUUGGCAUAAUUACAUAAUUCUCUUUUACAACACUCUGGUUUGACUGUUAGGUUAAUUGUAGAGCACCUUGUUAGGUCACAAAUCCAGAAGUCUGGUACUGGACUUUGCAGGUUGCUUUCUUAGUGGCAUAUUAGUUUAUAUUAGAGCACAUACUUCUCAAGAAGCCUUUUUUUUCUUAUCUGUGACUCUCUCUUCUUGAGAUGGGAUAAUGUAUUGGAUUAUUAGAGAAGUGUGAGUAUUGAAUCAGAUAGUUUUAUUUUAUCUAGAGCAGGGUUAAACCUGAUGAAUUGUUUCUGCUCUCUCAUGGAGUAUAUCUUCUUGGUGACAAAGACUUUUCUGUCUCUGAUUUUUAUCUUAGUCGUGGUUACAUUUAAUAAUCCUGCUUUCCAGCUUUUCCUAGAGAUCAGUCAUCAGUGACCUUUUGUCUUGAUACUUUGUCACCUUUUGUUUUCUGGUUUUGGGUUUUUUUUUUCUUUUUUAAACAUAUGUAACAUUGGCUUUUCCUGCUGACAACAGUAACAGAGUUUCAGAUCAUGUUUAUAGAAUGGUUAUUUCAUCACCUAACUAAUCUCACCUCUAGUGUAUGGAUUCUGGUAAAGUCAGUCAACAGUCUUCACAGCCUUUUCUAUUUUUACUGACCUUGAUUUAAAAUCUAAUCUUAGACCUUGAGGUAUUGCUUACGAAUAGUGUAAUAAUGAGGUACUACUUAUAACAAAUAAUGGUAACAUACUCUAGUGCGUACUAUAGGCAAAAGCUAAUGGAAACAUAGGUAGAAGAAAUGAAGUAAUAGUUAUUGAAUGCUUUUUGUGUACUGCAGGUGUGGAAACAGGAAGAGAACUAGAACUGGAAGUAAAGCAUUGAAGAUGUGACUGAAUUGCUGCAAUCUCAUGAUCAAAUUUGAAUGGAUGAGGAGUUGCUUUUUAGGGAUGAGCAAAGAAAGUGGUUUCUCGAGAUGGAAUCUACUGGUUGCUCCUUGAGGGCAGGACAGUUCUUAUGGCUUUAUCCGUUGCGUAAGCACAGAGAGGUCUGCGAGGUCAAAACUAUUGUCAUGAUAGCAAGAUGCCUGUCUUUUUCAUUUAUUCUCACGGUGUGCAGAGGCUACAUGAUGUGUGAUGACAUCCUCAUUGAUGUUAAUGAAUGGUGCUAUACUUGAAUUUUCUAAGGUGUCAUUAGGUAGGUUUAGGUAUGCAUACUUGUUUUUAGAAAUUAUUUUUUUCCUUUUUCCCAUUUUUAGAAAUCAACUCAUUUUUUAGGUUAUGCCUUCAGUAAUCUUUGCAACCUCAAUAUUGUGUAAUGGUUACUUUAAAAUACUGUAGUUUUCUUUGUGCCUAAGUAUAAACAUAAGUACAUUUUGUUGUUUUGUUUGCAAUAGUGGUUUAAAUAUUUUCCCAAAAUAUCCAAAUUUAAAAAUUCUACAACUUUAGAAUUUAAUAAAUUUAUUCUAAAAUAUUUAUAUAUUUUUUCAUUUAAGAAUGGAUCGGCUUAAAAAGACUGCUUCUCAUUUACUUACUGGCUAUACCAUCUGUAUACUAAUAAAAAACAAGAUUUGAUUUGGAAGGACUGACUCAAACUAACGAAAAUAUGAAACCUGUCUUUCUGCUUUGGAGAUAUUUACCUAAUCAUGUUCUGCAGUAGAAUAAUUUAGUUCUUUUGUCUUUUUUUGGAGAUGAGGUCUUGCUGUGUUGCCCAGGCUAUUCACAGCUGCCAUCAUAGUGAACUACAGCCUGAAACUCCUGGGUUCAAGAGAUCCUUCUGCCUCAGCCUCCUGAGUAGCUGGAACUAUAGGCAUGCGCCACCAAGCCUGGGCUUUUAAAAAAAUUUUAAAAAGAAUUUUGAGACAGGAUCUUGCCAUGUUGCUCAGGCUAGUCUUCAACUCCUAGCCCUGAGUGAUCUUGCUUUGGGCCUCUCAAAAUGUUGAGUUAAUAGGCGUGAGCCACCAUACCCAGCCAAAAAUUUUUUUAGAGAUGGGAAUGGAAUGAUCUUGAAUAGUGUUGGUGCCACCUAUGUUGUGGCAUCAUUUUGAAACCAAUCAUUCAGAGUGCUUUUUUUGGUAAGGCAUUAUUUUUUAAUGCAGGUAUGCCACUACUGGGAAAAAAAAAAAAACAGGUUUUAAAGCUAGAAAUGAAAAGCUACUUAAGUAUCUUAAAGGAUAAGUUACUUUAUUAUACACUAGAAACAUACACAAUAGCUGAAAAACUUAAAAAAUCUCACACUGCUGAAUGUCUCUGCUGGCUGAAGUGUAAGUAAAAGAUCAUAGUAGUGCCGCUGUUGAGUGAUAAAGCAACUUGUCAUUAAAGAUGUGUGUGCAGACAUGGAUUCUGAGUUAAUAUCUCAUCUGUAGAAGUAUAUAUUUGUCCCUUGCUUUGGGAUUGGUUUCUGGACAGCACUCCCCCACCCUUGCUGGCCAUUUGCCAAGGACACCAAAACCCAAGGAUGUUGAAUUCCCUUUUAUAAAAUGGCGCUGUAUCUGCAUACAACUUACACACAUCCUCCCAUAUACUUUAAAUCAUUUCCAGAUUUCUUAUACUUCAUACAAUGUGAAUGCUAUAUAAAUAGUUGUUACAUUGUGUACUUAUAUUUGUACUAUUGUAUUAAAUAUUCUCAAAUAUUUUCAAGCACAUUUGGUUGAAUCUGCAGAUGCAGAACCUGAGGAUAUGGAGGGCUGACUGUGCUAAUACGUUAUCAAUGGAUGCGUGCAUAAACAUGGCUGGACUUGUUACUUGGCUUGUAUUUGCCAGGCAUCAGCACCAACUAGUUAAAGAUACUCUUACGUGAAAGCUUGGCAACAAACACAUGUCCUGAAAUAAUGCAAGUGUAGAAUAACUUUUUAAAAUCUCAUGGUUUAUGCUAAACUAUAUGUUGACAUAAGAGUGGUGAUAAGGCAACAGUAGGUAAAAGUAAAAUUUCAGGCACCUUGGCACAAACUGUGGCAGUGGCAUCAAACUCUAAGUUAUUUUUCACUGCCAUGCAUUUGUGGUGUGAACCCCCACAAAAGAAAAAAACCAGUUUCACUCAAGAAUGUCCUUGUGAAAGCAGUGACAUUUUGUUAAAUCUUAAACCCUACAGUACAUAACUUUUUGAAAUGGUUGUCUCAAGAAAAAGCACUCAUGUAAGCUGAAUUAUCUGCUAUUUCCUUGGAGCCUAACAACUGACAGCAAUUGUUUUCAAUGAUAAAAUCCAAACGUUGAGUCAAAAUCAGAAUUUCGGGAAAACUUGUGUCUAAUAUCAGGAACUUGACAGCUUCCCAAUACUUCAUGAGAUAGUGAUAUUGAAAAUAAUUUUUUUUUUUUUUUGGGACAUCUGGCUGACUGCAACCUCUGUCUCCUGGGUUCAAGCAAUUCUCCUGCCUCAGCCUCCUGCAUAACUGGGACUACAGGUGUGUACCACUGUACCCGGCUAAUUUUUGUAUUUUUAGUAGAGAUGGGGUUUCACCAUGUUGGCCAGGGUGGUCUUGAACUCCUGACCUCAGGUGAUCCACCUUGGCCUCCCAAAGUGCUAGGAUUACAGGUUUAAGCCACUGUGCCCGGCCAAUGAUAUUUUAGGUAGUAUACAGUAAAAUGGGCCAACAUUUGGGAGAUUGACAUAACUCAGUGAAGCUAUAUUUUCCUAAUGACUAAUACGUGAGAUUAUAGAAAACUGCUAGUAACAUUGUAACCAAUUGAAUGCAAAAGAAACAAUUCAGUUGUCUUCUAUUUAAGUCAGACAUUUAGGGAAACAAUUGCCAAAAUGUAAAACAAUGCACCUAUUUUUUUAAAAAUAUGCAUUUGUUGCUAUAAUAUUUAAAUAUUUUACUUUCUAAUAUGGUAAGAUACUAGUAAAGUGAUUUGGGGCCCUCAAUCUUUAAGAAUGUGAAGGGAUUCUCUGAGGCCACAAAGUUUAAGAAAUGGCUACUCUAGCACAAACGCACAUAGUAAAUACUCAAGUACCUGUUGAAUGACUUCAUGGAGUUAAAGUGACUCCUGGUAUUAAAUCUGUAUGGCUGGGAUAAUGGGCAUGCUAGGACAGGAAGCAGAUUUCCUUAACUUCACCACUGUAACUCAUUAACAAACAUGUUAGCCUGAGACAGAAGUAUUAAGGGGCGACAGGAAAGCCUUUCAUAAGCAAUGUGAUGCUUUUUUUCACAUUAUUCAACAUGGUUUAAAAUUUGGUAUACAGGCCUAUGGUGUUUGUCCUGAACUUUUGCCAGAGUAGAAUGGUUCAUGUUUUUCCUCAUAGAUUUUCACUCCUCACUAAACUUCAUGACAUCUAACAUGAACUUAUUAGAAAAGGCUAUGCUUGAGAAUAAGGAUAUCUUUUUUCUAUGCCUAUGUUGUUAAUGAGUAUGAAGCACUUACAGGCUUUUAUGUACUUGAGGUUCCAAAGACAUUUCCAAAUUUUCCCAUUUUCAGUCUUCAACUUAACAUUUUGGUCCUUGCAGUGGAGACCUGAGUCCUAUCUGACAUUGGGACUACAGUUAGGGCAGAAUUUCCUAAACUGCCAUUUUUUAAAGAAAUAAGGGUAACCAAAUGUUCCCCUUAAAAGCACUCUGGUACCCUCUAGUAUUGGGAGAUAACUAUCUUCCCCUAAUUAGAUUUGUAAAAUCUUUCUCAAUAUUUAUUUACAUUUUUUUCCCCUCAAAUAUAUUGACUUUUUCAUUCCCAGUAACAAUAUGUCUGGUCUGUAACUAAGUCAUUCCAUGUUCAGAUUACAGAUUUAUUUCCCCAUCUUUUCACAUUCUUUUAGUCCAGGAGACCCACUUUGAAGGUUAAAACCAAGGUCACACAAUGAAUAGGUGGCAGUGUCACAUAUAACUCAGCUCCAGGCCUUAUGAAUCCUGCUUAUAGCCCACUGCCUAUUCUAGUCACCAGAUUGAAAAACACCAUACUAGGGAAGAAGACGGCAAACUAUUGCCCACUACAUAUUUGUAUCAGUCUUGUCAAAUUUUUAUUGUAGUAUGUAAUAGAAUUAAAGCUAUGAUGAAUCAAGUAAAAAAUGAUUUCCUUAAAAACUAAGCUAAUAGGCGAAAAUACUCGCUUGUUCAACAAAUACCCAGUCUGGCAGAUACAAUACCCUGCCCUUAGUGGGGGGUGGAGUGGGGGGUGGGGGGGUGGGGAAAGACAUCGUGGUGAAAACAGACAUGGUCCUUGAACUUCCUGGUUCUGUGGGUUGCUUAAUUUGAGGUUUAAAUGGUUUCUCCCAUCAGGUGAAAAGUUUUGUGUUCGGCCCAUAAACAAAGCAGCUGUGAAUUCUGAUAGUGGUAAAAAGGCCAGUCUAGGAUAUAAAACCUUCAUAAACAUCUUAUUUCCCAUUCAUUAUGAAGUGUGGGGUAGGAGAUCAGAGAAACCAGAUGAGGAUUGCUGGCUGUGCUGCUAAUGUGAACUCUUCUUUCAAAAGUAUUGUGUCCUUUUAUUCUCAAUGGAGACAUCAGAAAGUAUUAAGAGGAGUACUAUUAUAAUACUAAUAGGAUACUGAAAAUCUAUACUGAUUGCAGCCAGAGGCUCCAAAAUAAACAAUACUAUGAUGAGUUCCACAAAAAAACCUCAACUACUCUUUGUUCCAGGGAAGCACCAUUUUCCACAAAACUCUCAAGAAGGACUUGUUGCAACUGGAAAAGCAAUUAAAUGUGAAUCGUGAUCCAGGAGAAAGUAACAACUCACAUAACUCCCAAAUUAAAAGUUUUCCAAAGAUAUAUCAUUUUUUUUCUCUUGGCCUUUUAAGAAACUAGCCAACAAAUACUCUUGACAGGUUUGUGUUUGGUUUUGAAAACACACACCUUAGUGUACUGAAAGAAAAACAAUUUCUUUUAAUUUGGUUUGUUGGUCCCACACCCCAUCUAUCAAUGUAUGUGCUAUUUACAAAUAAGUUCUAUACAGUAUUUUUGCAGUACCUUUGAUAAUUCCUAGACCUCUAUUUUCAUUCUGUGUAUUAAUGUGAAUAACAGAUGGAUAUUUUAAUAUUUAAGGCAGAUGGUAAACUUUCCUAUAGGUCUUGUGAGACUUCGUCUUAUAGGCUGAACACCAUUCACAAAAUGUAAUAAUGCUUCAUUCCUUCAGGUUGAGGUAAAGAACUUGAGCAACUGGAUUAGCAAAGCUGCAAAGAAUGAAAUGUGGCCUAAGAUGUAAUUAUGUUCUCUGCCCUUCCUUUGGGCCAGGGUAGUUUUGCACUUGACACAAUGGAAAAUAGGCCAUAAAGCCUGAAAAUAAAAUGUUCUAAACCCCAAUCUCACAGCACUUUAGUAGGCUUUUCACUAGGCAUCUUUAAAGUAUUUUCAACAAAAUACUAAUUAAGCUACCACUUCAAAAGAGCUUCAAGGAAAAGCUCUGCUUUCUUAUAAAAUCUUUUUGAGACAGAGUUUCGCUCUUGUCGCACAGGCUGGAGUGCAAUGGCGUGAUCUCGACUCACCGCAACCUCCGCCUGCUGGGUUCAAGUGAUUCUCUAGCCUCAGCCUCCUGAGUAGUUGGGAUUACAGGCGCCCGCCACCACACCUGGCUAAUUUUUGUAUUUCUAGUAGAGACAGGGUUUCACCAUGUUGGCCAGGCUGGUCUCCGGACCUCAGGUGAUCUGCACACUUCGGCUUCCUAAACUGCUGGAAUUACAGUCGUGAGCCACUGUGCCUGGUCUCAUAAAACUUUUAAAUUCCAUCACAUUACAUUCACACCUUUUGCUAACCAGGAUGAAGAGCCUUAAACAGGUUUAAAGAGUGCAGACUGCAGUUUUGUUAAUACUUUUUUCCUCUCCAAGUUCUUUUAUGCUAACAUUUCCAGUGGUGGGAAGUACAAGUACUAUUAGUCAUCUUCAUUCUUUGCAUUGCCAAAGAGUUCCUCUUUCUCCGUCUUGUUCUGAAGGAUGAACAAAAGCUUGAGGUGUACGUAUCAGAACGUAAACUGCAGCACGAAGACCACCAACGUUCACCCAGACUGUAUCCACCUUUCGCCAUACGUGUCGCAUUCCAGAUAACGCCUGUGUACACACAAAAAAAAUAACAAUUAGGUUGACAAUCUACUUUUACAUCAACUAGGAUUCUUAACUGCCAAGAUAGGAAACCUCAGGGGAAGAGAAAACAAAUCUUAUCCAAACAAACAUCCCCAAAUCUCAAAAAGAUCCCAAAGUUGCCACAGGCUGCGAUUUUGAGCUAAUGUGUAUAGCACCUUGGUAAAGCAUUUUGUGUCUUGAGUAAGUAGUACAGCUCGGCCUGUGGUAGGUGUGCAGACACGGCUCAUCUCCCGUAGGCAAGCUGGAUAAAGGUUCCAGUUUCUCUUCUUGGAUCCCAUCCUAUAAUAGAAGGUCUCAUGAGUCAAACACUUGCAAAAGAUACAAAAUAGAAGGACUAUAUGAAACAAAAACAGUUUCAUGCAUCCUGAGGCAUGAAAAAUAGCUGUAGUUUUAGAAACCAGACCUUUGCCAUUACAUGUCUAUGAAAUAAGUUGAGUUAGUAAACUGCUUAGAAUUCUGAAUCAAAAAAAUUUUUUUUAGACAACUGUGUUAGUUAUAUGACUUGUCCUCUUAGUAUAAUAAGCAGUCAAACUGUAUAAACCAAACAAGUGAUUAGAAAUCAUUUAGGCCAGGUGUUUUGGUGGCUCAUGCCUGUAAUCCCAGCAGUUUGGGAGGCUGAGGCGGGCAGAUCACCUGAAGUCAGGAGUUUGAGACCAGCCUGGCCAAUAUGGUGAAACCCUGUCUUUUAAAAAUACAAAAAUAAGCUGGGCAUGAUGGCAUGUGCCUGAAAUCCGAGCUACUCAGGAGGGUGAGGCAGGAGAAUCGCUUGAACCCGGGAGGCAGAGGUUACAGUGAGCCGAGAUCAUACCACUGCACUCCAGCCUGGGCAACAGAGCAGGGCUCUGUCUCCAAAAAAAAAAAAAGAAUCAUUUAUGCUGAGAAACAGAAUGAGAACCAAGUCUUCUACCACCUUUUUGUGUAGGAUAUAUAAUUCAAGAAUGGGCUAGAAAGUGAAUUACAGGUAAUUUAAAAAUGAACCUCCCAUGAUGGUCAGGAUUCCAAAUGUAGUUAAUACAUUCCUGAGUUCUCGGAAGAAACAUAAUGGGUGAAUCCAUCAUGUUGUUAAGUGAAAAACAGCUCUGCUAAGUCUGCUAAAAUUCAAGAUUUUUUUCCUGACUUAGAAUAAACGCAAGGAAAAUAAUGACAUAUUUAGAAGACAAGCAGGUACUAGUAUUUCUCACCUUUUUCCAAAUGGCAAAUCUGUUACAAUAAUAUCCACAGAGCCAGUUCUCAAUGGCAGAUUGCAGAUAUCCCACUGAACAGCAUCUAUGGGCAAGCCCCAGGAGGGUUUGCUGUGGGGACAAAGGAAAGGUGCUUCAACAUACUGUGAAGCAUAAAGUUAUUACAACAAUUUUUGUUUCUGAAGAGAGACUGCUACAGCAAAACAUAAACUGCUAAGGAUAUCAGUGAUAAUAUCAACCUAUUCAAAAUUUAAGAAAUGGCACAAAGGUAAAAAAUAGGUCAGGCUGGGCAUGGUAGCUUGUGCCUAUAAUCAGCACUUUCAGGGGCUGAGGUGGGAGGAUCACUGGACUCCAGGAAUUUGAGACCAGCUGAGCAACACUGUGAGACCUUGUCUCUAAAAUACUUUUUUAAGAAGUUAGCAGGGCAUGAUGGCACACACCUAUAGUCCCAGCUACUCAGGAGGCUGAGGUGGGAGGAUCACUUGAGUCCAGGAGUUGAAAGAUGCAGUGAGCUAGGAUUGUGCCGCUUUACUCCAGCCUGGGUGACAGAGCAAGACCCCCGUCUCAGAAAAAAGGGAAACAAACUGAAAACAUGAUUGUAAUGCAGAGAACUGCAAAAGACAACUUUAAAAACAAUGCUGAAGCAGUAAAUUACAUAACCGAUGAUACAAAAAUUUAAGUUGCUGAUAAAACAUACACUGGAG